CUCACAUUCCAGAAAAUUUUUAGCUUAGGAAGAUGUAUUUGCAAACAAUUUUUGUUUAAGGAACUUCCUAAUACUCAUCUGAACAAUAAACUGAGCACUUAAGUCCGAAUAUGAAUUCUAUUAUAUUUUUUAGAAAAACAGAUCAUUCAAGUGGGCUUAUCAACAAUUUAUUCUUAAGGUGCCUUUCAAUACACCUAUGAAUAUGCUACCCUUUGAGCCUUCUACUUCGGGAUGUCUGACCAUGGUGAUGAGGCCUCCACUCUGCAAAUUGAGUGUGAGAACGAUUUGGAAACAUGAGUGGCAUAAGAGGAAAUAGAAUUACUUUGUGGGCUCUGUGGAAAUGUCCCAGCUCCCUGCACUGGAGAAAAGAGAAACUACCAUACUGGAAUAGCUUUGUAACACUUAUGAGCUUAUGUGUGAGGAGGGUAUAAUUUCAAAACUAUAAUAUGCAGUACUCUGGGAUAUAAAACUAAAGACCUGUGUUUUAAUUUAUAGGGAUUAAUAGACAUAAAAUUAUCUACAAUUAGCUUAUGCAAAUAUUAUAGGUAAAACAUAACUGAAGUUAUACAGUGUUAUUAUGUUAAGUUCUUGGGAUUCAAUUCAACACUUCAGAAUAAUUUUGAUGAAAGAAAUCAAUUGUAAAACCAGUUUUCUAAAAAAGCAAAUAUAUAUUUCCAUUUAAAAAUUG
rnacentral:lncRNA from 1 species